CCCUGCCCACCGCUCCCGGCAGGGCUUUUGGUGGCCAUGGGGGAUAACGCGCGUUGACUCACCCGGGCGGGGCUCCGGGAGUUGCACAGACCAAGGCAAAUGCCGUGGCCUCUGCUGUGGGGGUUUCUGGAGGACUUCUAGGAAAAUGAGGGAAGAGCAGGAAAAGGCGACAUGGCUGCAGGGGCCAGUCCCAGGAGCCGCCCUCCACAGCACUCAUUCUGCAGAAGGGAAAUUUGAGGCCCCCAGAUGGCAGGGGUUGAUCCUGCAGAGACUGGCCCUGUGCCUCCCUCUACAGCCCUCAGGGAGCUCAUUGAGGAGCUGGUCAACAUCACCCAGAACCAGAAGGCUCCGCUCUGCAAUGGCAGCAUGGUAUGGAGCAUCAACCUGACAGCUGGCGUGUACUGUGCAGCCCUGGAAUCCCUGAUCAACGUGUCAGGCUGCAGUGCCAUCGAGAAGACCCAGAGGAUGCUGAGCGGAUUCUGCCCGCACAAGGUCUCAGCUGGGCAGUUUUCCAGCUUGCAUGUCCGAGACACCAAAAUCGAGGUGGCCCAGUUUGUAAAGGACCUGCUCUUACAUUUAAAGAAACUUUUUCGCGAGGGACGGUUCAACUGAAACUUCGAAAGCAUCAUUAUUUGCAGAGACAGGACCUGACUAUUGAAGUUGCAGAUUCAUUUUUCUUUCUGAUGUCAAAAAUGUCUUGGGUAGGCGGGAAGGAGGGUUAGGGAGGGGUAAAAUUCCUUAGCUUAGACCUCAGCCUGUGCUGCCUGUCUUCAGCCUAGCCGACCCCAGCCUUCCCCUUGCCCAGGGCUCAGCCUGGUGGGCCUCCUCUGUCCAGGGCCCUGAGCUCGGUGGACCCAGGGAUGACAUGUCCCUACACCCCUCCCCUGCCCUAGAGCACACUGUAGCAUUACAGUGGGUGCCCCCCUUGCCAGACAUGUGGUGGGAGAGGGACCCACUUCACACACAGGCAACUGAGGCAGACAGCAGCUCAGGCACACUUCUUCUUGGCCUUAUUUAUUAUUGUGUGUUAUUU
rnacentral:sRNA from 1 species